rnacentral:rRNA from 1 species
UACGUAGGUGGCAAGCGUUGUCCGGAUUUAUUGGGCGUAAAGCGAGCGCAGGCGGUUCCUUAAGUCUGAUGUGAAAGCCCACGGCUCAACCGUGGAAGGUCAUUGGAAACUGGGUAACUUGAGUGCAGAAGAGGAGAGUGGAAUUCCAUGUGUAGCGGUGAAAUGCGUAGAUAUAUGGAGGAACACCAGUGGCGAAGGCGACUCUCUGGUCUGUAACUGACGCUGAGGCUCGAAAGCGUGGGGAGCAAACAGGAUUAGA